UAGGGAAUCUUCGGCAAUGGACGAAAGUCUGACCGAGCAACGCCGCGUGAGUGAAGAAGGUUUUCGGAUCGUAAAACUCUGUUGUUAGAGAAGAACAAGGACGUUAGUAACUGAACGUCCCCUGACGGUAUCUAACCAGAAAGCCACGGCUAACUACGUGCCAGCAGCCGCGGUAAUACGUAGGUGGCAAGCGUUGUCCGGAUUUAUUGGGCGUAAAGCGAGCGCAGGCGGUUUCUUAAGUCUGAUGUGAAAGCCCCCGGCUCAACCGGGGAGGGUCAUUGGAAGCUGGGAGACUUGAGUGCAGAAGAAGAGAGUGGAAUUCCAUGUGUAGCAGUGAAAUGCGUAGAUAUAUGGAGAAACACCAGUGGCGAAGGCGGCUCUCUGGUCUGUGACUGACGCUGAGGCUCGAAAGCGUGGGAAGCAAACAGA
rnacentral:rRNA from 1 species